CAGGUUUUGGAGAAACAUAUGCUGCCAUCCAAGCAACGUCUUCUUCAUGGACGCCCCUGCUUAUUUCAGCAAGACAAUGCCAAACGACAUUCUGCGCGUGUUACAACAGUGCGUUUAUUUCCAUAAUUCCAUUCAAAAAGUUCAAUUUGUUUUAAUAGAUAUUUAUGUUUACAUAGUUUGGGUUUCCAGCUCAUGAAACCCACAAAAUCAGGAAUUCAGAAAAUUUGAAUACUGUGAAGAAAUCAGGCCACAUUUUGCAGGUCGUAAAUGUUUUAAACUGAGUCUCACACAUUAAUCAUCUACUAAACUCAAAGCACCCGCACAGGCUUCCCCAUGUGUCGUUCAAUUCCUUCAGUUUGGUUCAAUUGUCUCAAUUGGGCUCAAUAUGGGGAAGACUGCAGACUUGACAACUGACCAGAAGACCAUCAUUGAUACCCUCCAUAGGAUGGGUAAGCCACAAAAGUUCAUAACUAUUGUAUGAUUUUUCACCAAUUUAUUUGUAUGUCCUUGCAUAAAAUAAAUAUUCAGACAAUUAAAAAGUUGACCUCAAUACUUUCUAAUGAAACCUUUGUUUGCAAUUACUGAGGUCAAAUGUUUGUUGUACCGGUUGAUAGAAAGGCAACUCCCUAUUUGUAAGUACUCGUAAUUUAUUUCUGUGCUAUAAUUCUUACAAGAAAUUAACAUGAGAAGAAAUUGUAUUGCAUGGAGUUUUAGUUGAAAUUCGAUAUGGGCGCCAGCAUUAGCCACAAGUUUCUCAAGCCACCUGGCAACCGCAUUAACUGAUUUCACAAGGAACUCAUGGGAUGGAAGACAUAACUUCUCGUAUUCGCCCUUCCUGUUCUUCCAAAGUCAUUGGUUUGGUCGAAUAUAGACUUGCUCCUUUAAUCAUGGAACAUACACCCAAAACAAAAAUUGAUAAAAAUAUUACAUGAAUAAAUUAUAAGUAUUUUAAAAUAGGGAGUUACUUUUCAAUCACCCUGUAGUUCUUGACCAGGUUUGCAAACACUGUCGCAGGUAUUUUGGCCCACUGUAGAGAAGAGCUUCUCUCGAUCUGUUUUGGGUCUUUUGCUGGCCAACUCCAGCUUUCAACUCCCACCACAGAUUUUCUAUGGGGUUGAAGUCUGGAGACUGGCUCGACCACUUCAGGACCUUGAAAUGCUUCUUAUGAGGCCGCUCCUUAGUUGCCUAGGUUGUGUGUUUGGGGUUAUUGUCAUGCAGGAAGAACCAGCCAUGUUCCAUCUUCAAUACUCUUACAGGGGGAAGGAGGUUUUUUUGCCCAAAAUCUCACAAUACAAUGUGGGUGGGUGGGAUCUGGCAUGGACCGCAGGUCGAGGGAGAUUGUCAGUUAUCAUGUAUUUCCUCCAUCUGUUAAUAAUUAUACCAACAGUUGUUCUUCUCACCAUCUUGCUUCUUGUAAUGUAGUUCAUCCAAGCCUUGUGCAGGUCUACAAUUUUGUCCCUUGUGUCCUUAAACAGUUCUCGUGUCUUGGCCAGGGUGGAGAGGUUGGAGUCUGACUGUUUGACGGCGUGGACACGUGUCUUAUAUACAGAUAUGGAUUUUAAAACGGGGGCUAUUACAACAGUGGAACCUCAAGGUCCGGAUCGGUGCCUGUGGACGUAAAGGUGACGAAGCCUGGCAGGUUGUCGUCGCCCAUAUGGCUGCUGAUCCAGUCCUGGUACCGGGAAACCCGCGUGUAGACACCUGGAAACUCCGGCAAGGCGCAAUCUUCUCCGAAGCUCACCACCCCGCUCUGGACCCACACGGACCCUUUUUUGCUCACCAUGGGACUACCGGAAUCACCCUGUGGAACACCAAGACCUGCUGAUCAGAUUCUUGAGAUAGCGUCAGCGCUCUCCUGCUCACAGCCUCUAGAGUGGUCAUCCUUGCACCGUGAGUGAGUAUGAUGCUGGUACACUGCUGUGUUUUGGGCAGGGUUGUUUGUGUAGUGUGUUUGUGUAAACUUCUCAAGAGAAACCAAUGACUCCACCCUACCUUGGCGUUGGGCCAAUUAAAA